rnacentral:rRNA from 1 species
UACGGGGGGGGCAAGCGUUGUUCGGAAUUACUGGGCGUAAAGGGCUCGUAGGCGGCCAACUAAGUCAGACGUGAAAUCCCCAGGCUCAACCUGGGAACUGCGUCUGAUACUGGAUGGCUUGAAUUCGGGAGAGGGAUGCAGAAUUCCAGGUGUAGCGGUGAAAUGCGUAGAUAUCUGGAGGAACACCGGUGGCGAAGGCGGCAUCCUGGACCGGCAUUGACGCUGAGGCGCGAAAGCUAGGGGAGCAAACAGG